AGAGUUUGAUCNCUGGCUCAGGACGAACGCUGGCGGCGCGCUUAACACAUGCAAGUCGUGCGGUACCGAUGGCAAGUCUUCAUGACGAGCCUUCGGUAUAGCGGCGGACGGGUGAGUAACACGUGAGUAGCUGUCCUAGGGAGGGGGAUAACGCCUGGAAACGGGUGCUAAAACCCCAUAAGCCUCGCAAGAGGUGAAAGUGUACUUGUUACAGCCUUAGGGUGUGCUCGCGGCCUAUCAGCUAGUUGGUGAGGUAAGGGCUCACCAAGGCUAAGACGGGUAGCCGGCCUGAGAGGGUGUACGGCCACACUGGAAUUGAGAUACGGUCCAGACUCCUACGGGAGGCAGCAGUGGGGAAUUUUGGGCAAUGGGCGAAAGCCUGACCCAGCGACGCCGCGUUGGGGAUGAAGUCCUUCGGGGCGUAAACCCAUGUUGUAGGGGAAGAAGAAAGUGACGGUACCCUACGAGAAAGCCCCGGCCAACUACGUGCCAGCAGCCGCGGUAAU
rnacentral:rRNA from 1 species